UACGUAGGGUGCAAGCGUUGUCCGGAAUUAUUGGGCGUAAAGAGCUCGUAGGCGGUCUGUCGCGUCGGAUGUGAAAACCCAGGGCUCAACCCUGGGCCUGCAUUCGAUACGGGCAGACUAGAGUUCGGUAGGGGAGACUGGAAUUCCUGGUGUAGCGGUGAAAUGCGCAGAUAUCAGGAGGAACACCAGUGGCGAAGGCGACUCACUGGACACAUAUUGACGCUGAGGUGCGAAAGCGUGGGGAGCAAACAGG
rnacentral:rRNA from 1 species